rnacentral:rRNA from 1 species
ACGAACGCUGGCGGCGUGCCUAAUACAUGCAAGUAGAACGCUGAAGAGAGGAGCUUGCUCUUCUUGGAUGAGUUGCGAACGGGUGAGUAACGCGUAGGUAACCUGCCUUGUAGCGGGGGAUAACUAUUGGAAACGAUAGCUAAUACCGCAUAACAAUGGAUGACCCAUGUCAUUUAUUUGAAAGGGGCAAAUGCUCCACUACAAGAUGGACCUGCGUUGUAUUAGCUAGUAGGUGAGGUAACGGCUCACCUAGGCGACGAUACAUAGCCGACCUGAGAGGGUGAUCGGCCACACUGGGACUGAGACACGGCCCAGACUCCUACGGGAGGCAGCAGUAGGGAAUCUUCGGCAAUGGGGGCAACCCUGACCGAGCAACGCCGCGUGAGUGAAGAAGGUUUUCGGAUCGUAAAGCUCUGUUGUAAGUCAAGAACGAGUGUGAGAGUGGAAAGUUCACACUGUGACGGUAGCUUACCAGAAAGGGACGGCUAACUACGUGCCAGCAGCCGCGGUAAUACGUAGGUCCCGAGCGUUGUCCGGAUUUAUUGGGCGUAAAGCGAGCGCAGGCGGUUUGAUAAGUCUGAAGUUAAAGGCUGUGGCUCAACCAUAGUUCGCUUUGGAAACUGUCAAACUUGAGUGCAGAAGGGGAGAGUGGAAUUCCAUGUGUAGCGGUGAAAUGCGUAGAUAUAUGGAGGAACACCGGUGGCGAAAGCGGCUCUCUGGUCUGUAACUGACGCUGAGGCUCGAAAGCGUGGGGAGCGAACAGGAUUAGAUACCCUGGUAGUCCACGCCGUAAACGAUGAGUGCUAGGUGUUGGAUCCUUUCCGGGAUUCAGUGCCGCAGCUAACGCAUUAAGCACUCCGCCUGGGGAGUACGACCGCAAGGUUGAAACUCAAAGGAAUUGACGGGGGCCCGCACAAGCGGUGGAGCAUGUGGUUUAAUUCGAAGCAACGCGAAGAACCUUACCAGGUCUUGACAUCCCGAUGCUAUUUCUAGAGAUAGAAAGUUACUUCGGUACAUCGGUGACAGGUGGUGCAUGGUUGUCGUCAGCUCGUGUCGUGAGAUGUUGGGUUAAGUCCCGCAACGAGCGCAACCCCUAUUGUUAGUUGCCAUCAUUCAGUUGGGCACUCUAGCGAGACUGCCGGUAAUAAACCGGAGGAAGGUGGGGAUGACGUCAAAUCAUCAUGCCCUUUAUGACCUGGGCUACACACGUGCUACAAUGGUUGGUACAACGAGUUGCGAGUCGGUGACGGCAAGCUAAUCUCUUAAAGCCAAUCUCAGUUCGGAUUGUAGGCUGCAACUCGCCUACAUGAAGUCGGAAUCGCUAGUAAUCGCGGAUCAGCACGCCGCGGUGAAUACGUUCCCGGGCCUUGUACACACCGCCCGUCACACCACGAGAGUUUGUAACACCCGAAGUCGGUGAGGUAACCUUUUGGAGCCAGCCGCCUAAGGUGGGAUAGAUGAUUGGGGUG